rnacentral:rRNA from 1 species
CCUACGGGAGGCAGCAGUGGGGAAUAUUGCACAAUGGGGGAAACCCUGAUGCAGCGACGCCGCGUGAGUGAAGAAGUAAUUCGUUAUGUAAAGCUCUAUCAGCAGGGAAGAAAAUGACGGUACCUGAGUAAGAAGCCCCGGCUAACUACGUGCCAGCAGCCGCGGUAAGACGUAGGGGGCAAGCGUUAUCCGGAUUUACUGGGUGUAAAGGGAGCGUAGACGGCAGUGCAAGUCUGGAGUGAAGGGCGGGGGCUCAACCCCCGGACUGCUCUGGAAACUGUACGGCUGGAGUGCAGGAGAGGUAAGUGGAAUUCCUAGUGUAGCGGUGAAAUGCGUAGAUAUUAGGAGGAACACCAGUGGCGAAGGCGGCUUACUGGACUGUAACUGACGUUGAGGCUCGAAAGCGUGGGGAGCAAACAGGAUUAGAUACCCCUGUAGUC